AGCAUGAAGCCUAGUUACUUUUUACCACGAGACAAAGAGUGCCAAACAUAACAGAUCUAGGAGACUGGAAAACAAACAGAAAGAAAGCUCUGGAAAUAGGAGAACUCUGCAUUGGAUCAUAAUAGGAGGGACAUAUCAAUUCUGUCAUGAGGGGAGAGUGGAGAGCAGCAGAAAGCUUGGCCCCCUGUCAGUGCACAUAUCCUGGCUCAUUAGUGAUUCAUUUUAUUCACCCUGAGAGCUGGGUGCUUAUGUCAACAAGCAUCAACACACCUUUCUGCUGA